AUUGAACGCUGGCGGCAGGCUUAACACAUGCAAGUCGAGCGGAGCGAGGGUGCUUGCACCUUAGCUUAGCGGCGGACGGGUGAGUAAUGCUUAGGAAUCUGCCUAUUAGUGGGGGACAACAUUCCGAAAGGAAUGCUAAUACCGCAUACGCCCUACGGGGGGAAGCAGGGGAUCUUCGGACCUUGCGCUAAUAGAUGAGCCUAAGUCGGAUUAGCUAGUUGGUGGGGUAAAGGCCUACCAAGGCGACGAUCUGUAGCGGGUCUGAGAGGAUGAUGCGCCACACUGGGACGGAGACACGGCCCAGACUCCUACGGGAGGCAGCAGUGGGGAAUAUUGGACAAUGGGCGGAAGCCUGAUCCAGCCAUGCCGCGUGUGUGAAGAAGGCCUUUUGGUUGUAAAGCACUUUAAGCGAGGAGGAGGCUACUUAGAUUAAUACUCUAGGAUAGUGGACGUUACUCGCAGAAUAAGCACCGGCUAACUCUGUGCCAGCCGCCGCCGUAAGAC
rnacentral:rRNA from 1 species